CCUACGGGAGGCUGCAGUGGGGAAUAUUGGACAAUGGGCGAAAGCCUGAUCCAGCCAUGCCGCGUGUGUGAAGAAGGCCUUCGGGUUGUAAAGCACUUUCAGUGGGGAAGAAAGCCUUGGGGCUAAUACCCUCGAGGAAGGACAUCACCCACAGAAGAAGCACCGGCUAACUCCGUGCCAGCAGCCGCGGUAAUACGGAGGGUGCGAGCGUUAAUCGGAAUUACUGGGCGUAAAGCGCGCGUAGGCGGUCUGAUAAGCCGGUUGUGAAAGCCCCGGGCUCAACCUGGGAAUGGCAUCCGGAACUGUCAGGCUAGAGUGCAGGAGAGGAAGGUAGAAUUCCCGGUGUAGCGGUGAAAUGCGUAGAGAUCGGGAGGAAUACCAGUGGCGAAGGCGGCCUUCUGGACUGACACUGACGCUGAGGUGCGAAAGCGUGGGUAGCAAACAGGAUUAGAUACCCCAGUAGUC
rnacentral:rRNA from 1 species